GGAUACAUUUUUAAUUUUCUUAGUUCUAUAAUUAUUUGAUUGAUCCCAAAACUGUCCAAAAAAACUUGAGUUCUCUCUCUAUAUAUAUAGAUCUUAUAAUUAGAUAUACAGAAGUAAUAGGUUUUUUACAAUAUAUUUUUUAAAAUUUGCAACUUUCAUGUGUAUGUGAAUGAGGUGUAGGUUAAAUGCAAUUAUGUAAAUGUCUAUUUUUAUGUGAGCAUAGUAUCCAAAGGAAUACAUUUAAAAAGUUUGAGAAAAUACUUGUUGAAUAAUCCAUCAUGACAGGUGAUUGUCAAAAAAAAUAAUAAAUAAAAAUAAAAUAAAAUAUAUUUUUAUUUUAUUUUUAUUUGUUUGUUUGUUGUUGAUUUGCGGUUCCAAAAUAAUGUUUCAAGUUCUACAAUAUGUCUUAGAUUUUAAGAUCACCAAAUUGAAACAUGUUAACAAACACAACAUGCUUACAAAAUUCUGAUCUUACAUUUGAAGUAAUCUUAGUUUAAAAAUUUAGAAAUAAGGCCUCUAGCCUUGUACAAAGUCUUUAAAUAUUAUCUAAUAGAAAAAGGUCAACUCCAUUAUGUUCCAAAUACAAAUCAAAUGUUACUUGAUCAGUUGCCACAGUGCUUGUGCUUACCAAUUUCUUCAUCCUAAAUUGGAAUCCUUCAAUUAUUUUAUUUCUUUAUUUAUUAUUCAUUUUUUAAAGAAAAUUUUAUCAUUGAAGAAUAUCCAGUGUAACGAGGUCAUUGAGUGCUUAAAACUCAUUCCUAGGUUGCUGAUAUUUUGUUUCUUAAUCAUGAGUAGUAGGUAAUUAGGUAUGAUAUAUAUACCAAUCUAGGAAGAGGACUACUAACGUUGCAUGUUUGGAUCAAACCACAUAUGUUUCACUGUCUUCUUCUUCUUUUGUUCUGCUUGUUUUUUUCCUCCUUUCUGAAUCUCCAGCAGUAUUCUAAACUAAUUACACACCAAACUGUAAUCUUGUGCAUCAAAUCCCACCAGUGUGUUGUAAGAGAGUGAAGAGAAGAAGCAACUGGUGUAAUGGGGCCAUGGAUUUGGUGGGUUUGACUGCCAAGCUCCUCCCACAAACUAACAAACAAACAAUGCUGCACUUUCAGUACAAGUUAAUGAUGUUUCUAUGAGCUAUACAUACAUAAACAUACAUACAUAGAUUAGUUCUCAGUUGCAUAAGUAACACACAAUAAUGU
rnacentral:lncRNA from 1 species